UCGACCUCCUUAUCCUCUCCAUGUAAGUGUCUUUUUUUUCAAUGUAAGGCUCAGAAAUCAGUCGCAUCGUGCCGAAUGCUCAUCAAUCCGUCGAAACUGUACUUAAAGUGAGGCGUCUGUGCAGGUUUUCGAGUUUUAUUUUAUUUUAUUUUAUUUUUAUUAUAUUAUAUUUUUACUAGAGAUUAGCACUUGAAAUUCGCCGAGAAGUCGAAGCAGAAGGAGGAGAAGAAGAAGGGAUUUGAGUAACAGCGACAAUGACAAUGAUCGGAGCUACUGCCGGAGGACGUGCAGUGCUGGGAGAUCAGGCGCGGGCACGCUGUUUCGGCUUCAGACCUUCGUGGAUUUGUUACGCUGCAGUGUGUUCAACAAUUCGGGUGCACGAUGCCCUCCCUUUCGCUGCCCGUUUCGAAUCGAUCCAUGUACAAGGGAAUUGUGAAGCAGAGAUCGUUGUUUGCAACCUGAGCUAGCAAUGCAGGGGAUCCAUUGAGACGGCCUACUGCUCCUCGUUCCGUGCCAUCUACUGCUACGCCAAAUGAGCCACAUUACCGCCAAAUGUUCAUUAGCAUUGACGACUGUUGGAAUGGGAGUCAUGAAUCGUGAGGUGGUCACUGUUUGGUAUUGCCGUAGGCUUACUAACUGAAUAUGCAACUGGGGCCAACUUCGUGGAGCAGCUAAAAAUCAUUGUUUCCAAUUUGGGCAUUGCCGAGCUUGAUUAGGGUCAAUGUGCAGUACUGCUUUUCUCGAAGGGAAAUCUGCGAGAAUUUUCACUGUAUACCGUCAGCUAUGAUCAGAAUGGUGAUACUUCACUUCCAACACCAAUCCAGCAAACACAAACGAAUCCACUGACUUAUGAACCGCAGCUGGGGAUUGGAACAACACCCAAUACUUUUACAACUUGCGCCAGAAACAAGUACUCUCAAAACUGA